GACGAACGCUGGCGGCGUGCUUAACACAUGCAAGUCGAACGGAAAGGCCCUUCGGGGUACUCGAGUGGCGAACGGGUGCGUAACACGUGGGUGAUCUGCCCUGCACUUUGGGAUAAGCCUGGGAAACUGGGUCUAAUACCGAAUAGGACCACGCGCUUCAUGGUGUGUGGUGGAAAGCUUUUGCGGUGUGGGAUGGGCCCGCGGCCUAUCAGCUUGUUGGUGGGGUAAUGGCCUACCAAGGCGACGACGGGUAGCCGGCCUGAGAGGGUGACCGGCCACAAUGGGACUGAGAUACGGCCCAGACUCCUACGGGAGGCAGCAGUGGGGAAUAUUGCACAAUGGGCGCAAGCCUGAUGCAGCGACGCCGCGUGAGGGAUGACGGCCUUCGGGUUGUAAACCUCUUUCAAUAGGGACGAAGCGCAAGUGACGGUACCUAUAGAAGAAGCACCGGCCAACUACGUG
rnacentral:rRNA from 1 species